AGCUGCUGACUCGUUGGUUCA
rnacentral:miRNA from 2 species